rnacentral:lncRNA from 1 species
GGCCUUUAGUUCAUGCUCAGCCUGGACUUGCUGGGCCUGUUCGUGGUGUUGGUGGGCCUGCUCCUGGUAUGAUGCAGCCUCAAAUUUCUCGGCCGCCGAUGCCUAAUGUGUCUGCUCCCCCGAUGAAUUACCCGCCUCCGGUGAUGAGGCCGCCUGGUGGUGGCCCGCCAAUGCAAAUGCAGAUGCAGAGACCUGGGGGCCCACCACCGCCUAUGGCCCCACCACCGCAGUUCAGG